rnacentral:lncRNA from 1 species
UAGGGGAGGUAGGGGUGUGGGGUUCAGCUGAGUUGGGUGGCACUGUCACCCCUGCCCAGGGGGACCUCAAGACCCCUUUCCUGACCCGGCAAGCGACUGGCAGGAAGGACGCUGGCUGAGCUGGGCCUGAAAUCAUUUCCCAUGAGGGGUUGCGACCCCUGCAGACCAGCACCGUCCUCUGCAUGCUGUGGGGCUGCCUCUCCCAGUCCUACUGGGUCCUCCUCUCUGAGCAGAUACGGCAACUGGCUUGACACUGGCCGCCACAUUCUGGGCUCAGAAGUCACGUUUUGGUCUGGGGUAUCUGGCUGUUCAUUCCAUUGGGUAUGGCCUUUUCUGCUUUCCAGUUCCUGUAGCAUUCAAUGUUUCUUCACAGCCUUGGACUCCUCACUCCUGACCCCACAAGUGUUGUAUGCAAUAAUGGUUAGUCAACAACUUGCCCCAUCCUACCCCUCACUGAAUCAUGACCAUGACAGCUGUGACUCUGCUGGAACCCACAUCCACUUAGACUGAUCAGCAGGCCUGAAUUUGAACCAACUGCAGGCUUGCACAGGGACCAAUCACAGGCCUGAAGCUACUAUACAAGCAGCACUCCCUUCUCUUUCUUGGGUUAGCCUAGGAUUGCCCUCUGCUGUGUUCUGACCCCUGCCAUGCUCCCACACAGGUUAUUAAAAUCAAGUCUCACUUCAGUGGCCCUCUACGUCUGCUCAUGAUUUAUUUAUUAGAUAGUGUGAGCACCAAGGGUCCUGUAAAUCUACUUAGGAUUCUCCUGAGUAAUGAGAACAUAGUGGUCAUCUCAAAAGAAAGAGCCACAAAAACUCGUCCUCAAGGAGCUCCAGAGACCAGCAGUCAGUGAAGAUCAGCAACUGAGACCUGCACCCAGCAGUCUCCCAGUAGUGUUUGGCACAAACCAUCACUGAAUGGCAACAGCUGGAAGUGACAGAGACCAGCACCCAGCAGAGUUGACCCGUGGCACCUGGCACAAGAGACAGCAGCAGUAACCAGCAACCAGCUGUGUCAACUGUUGGCAUAGCCUGGUGGCAUCAGGACCAUUAUCAAACCUGCACUUGGCUGAUCCAUGACUUCCAUCUGAAUGAGUAAAAGAA